GUUAAUAGCCCGUGGAAUUGACGGUACCUCCAGAGGAAGCCCCGGCUAAAUACGUGCCAGCAGCCGCGGUAAUACGUAUGGGGCAAGCGUUGUCCGGAUUUACUGGGCGUAAAGGGCGCGUAGGCGGUUUGUUAAGUCGAAGGUGAAAUCCUCGGGCUCAACUCGAGAAUUGCCUUCGAUACUGGCAAACUAGAGUGGCGGAGAGGAAAGCGGAACUCUUGGUGUAACGGUGGAAUGUGUAGAUAUCAAGAGGAACACCGGUGGCGAAGGCGGCUUUCUGGACGCACACUGACGCUCAGGCGCGAAAGCGUGGGUAGCAAACAGGAUUAGAUACCCUGGUAGUCCACGCCAUAAACGAUGGGUACUAGGUGUCGGGGGUAUCGACCCCUCCGGUGCCGCAGUUAACGCACUAAGUACCCCGCCUGGGGAUUAUGGUCGCAAGGCUGAAACUCAAAGGAAUUGACGGGGCCCCGCACAAGCGGUGGAGCAUGUGGUUUAAUUCGACGCAACGCGAAGAACCUUACCUGGGCUUGACAUGCUUGGGACAGCGCUGGAAACAGCGUCUCUCCUUCGGGAGCCCUUGCACAGGUGCUGCACGGCUGUCGUCAGCUCGUGUCGUGAGAUGUUGGGUUAAGUCCCGCAACGAGCGCAACCCUCGUUACUAGUUGCCAUCAGUUCGGCUGGGCACUCUAGUGAGACUGCCGGUGAUAAACCGGAGGAAGGUGAGGAUGAUGUCAAGUCAUCAUGGCCCUUACGCCCAGGGCUACACACGUGCUACAAUGGUCGGCACAAAGGGUCGCUAAGC
rnacentral:rRNA from 1 species